UAAGCGAGUAGUGAAAGCGUGUGGCUCAACCAUACAUACAUUACUUGAACUGCUAAGCUAGAGUAAGGAAGAGGUAGCUGGAAUUCCCAGUGUAGGAGUGAAAUCCGUAGAUAUUGGGAGGAACACCGAUGGCGUAGGCAGGCUACUGGUCCUUUACUGACACUAAGGCACGAAAGCGUGGGGAGCGAACUGGAUUAGAUACCCAGGUAGUCCACGCCGUAAACGAUGGAUGCUG
rnacentral:rRNA from 1 species